GGUCUGGUGUUCAAUCUACAGAAUAGGAAAUACUUGGCAGUUUUAAGUUCUCCAACAAUAUAAUUCUUGACAUUUUUUGAUAUCUAUGAAA